CGCGGAACGGGCGAAUGAUCGUGAACAAGGCCUUUUUACAACUUAGCAGUGGUGCUGGGGCCUGCCUCCGUGUGUGCGUAUGGGUGGUAAUAGAAUGAAGAAUGGACACCAGUGACCUAUUCUUUGGAUGCAGAACUGGUGACCUCUCAAAAGUGAAGUAUCUGGUGGAUGUCAAGGAAGUUGAUGUAAACACAAGAGAUAAAUGGGACAGCACACCUCUCUACUACGCCUGCCUGUGCGGCCACAUUGACCUGGCGGAG